CCUACGGGAGGCAGCAGUGGGGAAUAUUGCACAAUGAGGGAAACCCUGAUGCAGCAACGCCGCGUGCGUGAAGAAGUAUUUCGGUAUGUAAAGCUCUAUCAGCAGGGAAGAAGAAAUACGGUACCUGACUAAGAAGCCCCGGCUAACCACGUUCCAGCAGCCGCGGUAAUACGUGGGGGGCAAGCGGUAUCCCGAUAUACUGGGGGAAAAGGGAGCCGAGAUGGCUGUGCAAGGCUGAAGUGAAAGCCCGUGGCGCAACCGCGGAACUGCUUUGGAAACUGGAUAGCUUGAGUACUGGAGAGGCAGGCGGAAUUCCUAGUGUAGCGGUGAAAGGCGUAGAUAUUAGGAGGAACACCAGUGGCGAAGGCGGCCGGAUGGACAGAAACUGACGUUGAGGGUCGAAAGCGUGGGGAGCAAACAGGAUUAGAUACCCCAGUAGUC
rnacentral:rRNA from 1 species